GAUGAACGCUGGCGGCGCGCCUAACACAUGCAAGUCGAGCGAAUGGAUUAAGAGCUUGCUCUUAUGAAGUUAGCGGCGGACGGGUGAGUAACACGUGGGUAACCUGCCCAUAAGACUGGGAUAACUCCGGGAAACCGGGGCUAAUACCGGAUAACAUUUUGAACCGCAUGGUUCGAAAUUGAAAGGCGGCUUCGGCUGUCACUUAUGGAUGGACCCGCGUCGCAUUAGCUAGUUGGUGAGGUAACGGCUCACCAAGGCAACGAUGCGUAGCCGACCUGAGAGGGUGAUCGGCCACACUGGGACUGAGGCACGGGCCAGACUCCUACGGGAGGCAGCAGUAGGGAAUCUUCCGCAAUGGACGAAAGUCUGACGGAGCAACGCCGCGUGAGUGAUGAAGGCUUUCGGGUCGUAAAACUCUGUUGUUAGGGAAGAACAAGUGCUAGUUGAAUAAGCUGGCACCUUGACGGUACCUAACCAGAAAGCCACGGCUAACUACGUGCCAGCCGCCGCGGUAA
rnacentral:rRNA from 1 species